GGUUGUGUAGUGUAGUGGUUAGCACUUUGGAUUUUGAAGAGAAACGCCAUCUCAUCAAUCUUCUUCCGGCAACCCCGGUUCGAACCCGGGCACGACCU